rnacentral:rRNA from 1 species
GACGAACGCUGGCGGCGUGCCUAAUACAUGCAAGUAGAACGCUGAAGAGAGGAGCUUGCUCUUCUUGGAUGAGUUGCGAACGGGUGAGUAACGCGUAGGUAACCUGCCUUGUAGCGGGGGAUAACUAUUGGAAACGAUAGCUAAUACCGCAUAACAAUGGAUGACCCAUGUCAUUUAUUUGAAAGGGGCAAAUGCUCCACUACAAGAUGGACCUGCGUUGUAUUAGCUAGUAGGUGAGGUAACGGCUCACCUAGGCGACGAUACAUAGCCGACCUGAGAGGGUGAUCGGCCACACUGGAACUGAGACACGGCCCAGACUCCUACGGGAGGCAGCAGUAGGGAAUCUUCGGCAAUGGGGGAAACCCUGACGGAGAAACGCCGCGUGAGUGAAGAAGGUUUUCGGAUCGUAAAGCUCUGUUAUAAGGGAAGAACAAAUGUGGAAGUGAAAAUUCCCCUCUUGACGGUACCUUAUCAGAAAGGGACGGCUAACUUAGUG